rfam:Otolemur garnettii contig174393, whole genome shotgun sequence.
GCCUGCCCGACACUCUUUCCCUGUUGCACUACUGUGGGCCACUGGGAAGCAGUGCAAUGAUGAAAGGGCAUCGGUCAGGUC